UUGCUCUCUAAAAUCAAUAAAAAUAUUUUUUAAAAUUUUUUCUCCUGCUAUGCUGCUAAGUUAUCCUGGCUGAAUUUGAAACCAAAUUUUAGAUUUUUAGAAAAACAGUAUUUUAGGUAGGCCUGGAGAAACAGAAUAGUCUAGCCCACUCCCUUUUACAAGUGAGAAAACCAGAGGGUAAGUGAACAUUUAACAGCAGGUGGGUGUGGGGGGAGGGGGGAAAUAAAAGGAAAACCUCUCAUGAGAGAGAACUUUCUAUUGUUCAUAUUAAAUCUGUAUAACUUUGUUUUAGCCAAAAUACUCAGAAUUAAAACAGAGAAUCAAAUUGGAAGAAAUGCUGAAAAGCUGUUAGUCCAUCCUGAGGAGGUGCCAGGUACAAGCACAACACAAGACACCCCUAGAAUCUGCCGUGAAGAGCCGGUCCCACGGCCGCAGUAGAGUCGUGGCCUCACAGGAUCCGAGGACGCUGAGUGGUCGACUUCCCUCCAAAGUGUCAGGUCCACACAUGGAACAACCCACUGGACAGCGUGUCUAACGGGCACGUUCCCGUCUCCUGUGUUUGGGGAAAGGACACUGCUCUCCAACCCAAGCGUCCAAACAAAAAACCUGGUAAGAUCUUCAUGCCUCUCCUCAGCCCCAACGUCAAUUCUCUUCAGUGUUGUGAUCCCACCUCUUAGGCUCUCUCAAACACACCCCCUAAGUGGGUACACAAAAUGUGUUGCACACGUCUGUGGGGGAGGGGAAAUUUCCUGUUUUCCCUUAUUUCUGAUUGGUCUAAUAACCAAACUGACAUAUGACAGAUGAACAGGAGAAAACAACCAAACGUAACCGUGUGUGUGCAAGCAGGGGCUCCCGAAGAACAGGGAGCGGAGGACGGAGCUAAGGACACCGUGGGGCUGUAGUCUGGGACUGCAAAGGGAGGAAGGCAAUUCACAUGGAGAUGGAAAAGCAAAGGUCUGCUCUGAGCCAGUAACUGGGACCAAUAUCCAGAACUUCCUUAGAAAAGCACUAAAACCACAAAACACGCAAAUCAUGAUUGACCUGUGGAAUCAGUUGGCCUUGUGAAAUCAAGUUUCAUAGAGUUUGUAAGUACUUACUGCAUGACAGUCAUGUAAAACUGACAUCAUAUUUUCAAGGUCAGCAUUAUUAUGUUUGUGCAACUUCUCGGAGUCAUACAUUUUUGUGAUAUUUUUAACAUCUGACUACAGCUCCACCAUCACAAGGUGCUCGCGCUGUUUACCACACGGAAGCAGCAGCUGUGUUCCUCAGCCCCAGCUCCCUUCAGUGCAUCGAGCAGCCGUUUGCAACCCCAGAAAAGUAAGAGAAACCCUAGAGAGGGUAAGGACGCUCUUCCAGACACUUUCUCGGGUGUUUCCUGAACCUGGAGGCUCCAUCUUCCACUUGACAAGUGCCCCCACUCGCCACGCCCUCACGCCCUGGGCAGUAUGAACCGGUAAGAGGACAAACUCUACACGAAAGGCUACCAUUUAAUAGCUAAAAUAAAAACCACUUACUAAGACUUUAGUUUUCAUGCUAUG